rnacentral:rRNA from 1 species
AUGGAUGGAGAGUGGCUGCAGUACAAUAGUGGUGUGCACAAUGAGUUUGAUCUCUUCAUGACAAGCAAACACAACCACCUUUUCCAGGACAACCAUAGUGAUGAGAUGGAUGGUCUGCUUGAAGCCACUAUUGUCGUGGGAAACACUGAUGAUGCCAACGUUGUUGCUGCAGACCACAAAAACAACGAUGGAGAGACCCAUAGUGAUCAGAGAAUGGCCACAAGGCGUGCCAAUUAUCACCGUCUGCGCAGUGAACAAAUCCUACAACUUGAAGCUGUGUUCCGGGACUGCCCUUAUCCAAAUGAGAAACUUCGGAAGGACCUUAGCGAGAGGCUUGGCAUGAGUGCCCAGCAGGUCAAGUUUUGGUUCCAAAACAAACGCACCUUCAGUAAGGGAAAGAUGGAGCGGUGGGAGACCCAAAAUCGUUGGGUAGAAAAUGAGAGGCUGAAAACUGAACGUCAAGCCAUCUUGUUGGCUAUGCAAAACAAGACUUGCCUCAAAUGCAGAGGGGUGAUGGCUCUCAUGGUUGCUACGUGGGAUGGCAUGAGAUAUGGCAAUCAUGAUAGCAAUGUAGGGGCAGUAGGACGAGCGGCUUUGGGAUGGCAUUGCCGUGAAGCUCGGUCCAAUGCUCGUCUUUGUCUCUUUGAGUUUGUAACAAAACAGAUCAAGUAG